rnacentral:rRNA from 1 species
UACGUAGGGGGCAAGCGUUGUCCGGAAUCAUUGGGCGUAAAGAGCGUGUAGGCGGCCCGAUAAGUCCGCUGUGAAAGUCCAGGGCUCAACCCUGGGAUGCCGGUGGAUACUGUCGGGCUCGAGUCCGGAAGAGGAGUGUGGAAUUCCUGGUGUAGCGGUGAAUGACGCAGAUAUCAGGAGGAACACCAAUGGCGAAGGCAGCACUCUGGGACGUGACUGACGCUGAGACGCGAAAGCGUGGGGAGCAAACAGG